GACGAACGCUGGCGGCGUGCUUAACACAUGCAAGUCGAACGGAAAGGCCUGCUUUCCCUUGUGGAUUGCGGGUACUCGAGUGGCGAACGGGUGAGUAACACGUGAGUGAUCUGCCCCCAACUUGGGUAUAAGCCUGGGAAACCGGGUCUAAUUCCCGAUAGGACUGCAGGGUGGUGCCUGUGGUGGAAAACGAUUUUCUAGUGGUUGGGGAUGAGCUCGCGGCCUAUCAGCUUGUUGGUGGGGUAAUGGCCUACCAAGGCGGCGACGGGUAGCCGGCCUGAGAGGGUGGACGGCCACAUUGGGACUGAGAUACGGCCCAGACUCCUACGGGAGGCAGCAGUGGGGAAUAUUGCACAAUGGGCGGAAGCCUGAUGCAGCGACGCCGCGUGGGGGAUGACGGCCUUCGGGUUGUAAACUCCUUUCGACCGCGAGGAAGCCACCUGGUUGGAAGGGUGGUGACGGUAGUGGUAGAAGAAGCACCGGCUAACUACGUG
rnacentral:rRNA from 1 species